GGGAAAUGGGAUAUGAGAUCUAUGAUCACCUCUUCCUCUGAGCUUUGUGGACAAGAGAAGUCCUCUGAAGUGCCUAGACAUGUAAAAUUUUCUUUCCGUAAUCCUGUUCGAUGCCGCAUUAUUUGGAUAACUUUGCGUCUUCAAAAAGUUGGCUCAAGUUCUGUAAAUUUUGGGAAAGACUUCAGUCAUUUGUCCGUAGAAGAGAACCCAUUCGCGGAACCUGUGAGGCGUGCUUCAUUCGGAGGACCAGUUGAAAGUGACCCGUGUCUUCAUGCUAAAAGAAUCUUGGUGGUUGGAAGCCCAUUGAGGAAAGAUGUAGGGGCACCAAGCCAAGGCUCUGACCAGAUAAAUACAAGCAAUUUGUUGGAUAAAGGUCCUCCACUAAACAGAUUUAAGGUUCCAAUUGAGGUUGAGAGGUUAACUGAGAACGACCUUGUUUUAGAACAGUUCCUACCCCCAGUUUCACCUAUGCUGGCAGGUUUUCGUCUCGAUGGUUUUAGUGCAAUAAAACCUCGAGUCACCCAUUCACCACCUUCACAGGUGAAUCCAUGGGAUGUUUCUUCUUGUAUAUUGGAGGACAGAUUCAUAAGUCCAGCUGUAUUGUAUAUUCAAGUAUCUGCUUUCCAGGAACCACACAAUAUGGUCAUCAUUGCAGAAUACAGGCUGCCAGAGGUGAAGGCGGGGACAGCAAUGUACUAUGAUUUUCCUAGACAAGUUAGUACUCGUCGAAUCUCAUUUCGACUUCUUGGAGAUGUUGGUGCAUUUACUGAUGAUCCAUCAGAGCAGGAUGACUCGGAUUCUAGGGUCCGGAUUGUGGCAGCAGGACUGUCUUUGGCUAAUAGAAUCAAGCUGUAUUAUUAUGCCGAUCCCUACGAGCUCGGAAAAUGGGCGAGUCUUUCAGCUGUUUGAUUAAGAUAAUCCCCAGUGUUCACAUGAUUAAUUUUGUAUUUUAGGAGUCUUUUUAUUCUUGUUGUUUUCAGGAACAUCAUUGAUUUAUUAUUUCAUCUUAAGUUGUAUAGGAGAGUUAGAGUUUAUACUGUUAAAUUCUGUAUAAUUUGUUGUGGCGGAAGAGAACAUUUUGCAAGAGUUGGAUGUAUAAUUACGAGGUUGUAUUAAGAAGAUAUAAUACUAACGGAACUUAUCUAGUAUAUUGCUA
rnacentral:misc_RNA from 1 species